rnacentral:rRNA from 1 species
GAUGAACGCUGGCGGCGUGCCUAAUACAUGCAAGUCGAGCGAACAGACGCUGAGCUUGCUCCUUUGACGUUAGCGGCGGACGUGUGACUAACACGUGGGUCCCCUACCUCUAAGACUGGGAUAACUUCGUGAAACCGGAUCUAAUACCGGCUAAUUUUUCGAACCGCAUGGUUCGAUAGUUCCAGCUGGCUUUGCUAUCCCUUCUAGCUGGCCCUGGGUCGUCUUAGUUAGUUGGUAAGGUAACGGCUUACCAAGGCGACGAUACGUAGCCGACCUGAGAGGGGGAACGGCGACAGUGGAAGUGAGAGACGGUCCAGACACCUAGGGGAGGCAGCAGUAGGGAAUCUGGGGCAAUGGGCGAAAGCCUGACGGAGCAACGCCGGGUGGGUGAAGAAGGGCUUCGGAUCGUAAAACGCUGUUAUUAGGGAAGAACGAACGUGGAAGGAACUGUGCACGUCGUGACGGUACCUAAAGAGAAAGCCACGGCUAACUACGUG